rnacentral:tRNA from 1 species
UUUCUUGUAGUGUAGUGGUUAACAUAUUAGUCUUCAAAACUAAUGACAUAGGUUCGAGUCCUAUCGAGAGUG